AUGUUGUUAUCAUCAGAGAAAGAGGGAGGGAAUGUGAGACCAAAUGUGAUGAUGAGAGAUUUCCGUAAUUGUCUGGGAGAAUGUGGACUAGCAGAUAUGGGUUGUAUGGGUGACUUAUUUACAUGGAGGAGGGGCGAAAUCAGGGAAAGACUAGAUCGAGCGGUCUGUAAUGUGGAUUGGGCGAAUAAAUUCCCUCGAGCGGCGGUUAUUAACGAAGAACAUGUACACUCAGACCAUCGCCCUAUUAUUUUAGACACGGAAUAUUUUGAC
rnacentral:rRNA from 1 species